rnacentral:rRNA from 2 species
ACGGGAGGCAGCAGUGGGGAAUAUUGCACAAUGGGGGAAACCCUGAUGCAGCGAUGCCGCGUGAGGGAAGAAGGUUUUCGGAUUGUAAACCUCUGUUUUAAGUGAAGAUAAUGACGGUAGCUUAAGAGGAAGCCACGGCUAACUACGUGCCAGCAGCCGCGGUAAUACGUAGGUGGCAAGCGUUGUCCGGAAUUACUGGGUGUAAAGGGAGCGUAGGCGGGGAUGCAAGUUGAAUGUCAAAGCCAGGGGCUCAACCCCUGAUCGCGUUCAAAACUGUAUCUCUUGAGUGAAGUAGAGGCAGGCGGAAUUCCUAGUGUAGCGGUGAAAUGCGUAAAUAUUAGGAGGAACACCAGUGGCGAAGGCGGCCUGCUGGGCUUUAACUGACGCUGAGGCUCGAAAGCGUGGGUAGCAAACAGGAUUAGAUACCCUGGUA